UACGUAGGGGGCAAGCGUUGUCCGGAUUUAUUGGGCGUAAAGAGCGUGUAGGCGGCUUGGUAGGUCCGCUGUGAAAACUCGAGGCUCAACCUCGAGAUGUCGGCGGAAACCACUUGGCUAGAGUCCGGAAGAGGAGAGUGGAAUUCCCGGUGUAGCGGUGAAAUGCGCAGAUAUCGGGAAGAACACCUAUGGCGAAGGCAGCUCUCUGGGACGGUACUGACGCUGAGACGCGAAAGCGUAGGGAGCGAACAGG
rnacentral:rRNA from 1 species